GAUGGGAUUAAAUUUAAAUCACUUAAACAAAGAAGACGAAUCUAGAAGAAUAACAAAUAAUCUACAUCCCACUGUCUCAUAGAAUAUUCGAGUCGUGAAGCAAAACAAAUUUAUAGAAAACAGGAUGACUAUUAGAAAGUUCCUCUCUCUCGUCGUCCUCCUCGUCAUCUCCGCCCCCGCUUCCUCUUCCCUCCCCUUCAUCGUCUUGCACGGUACGACCGCAUCCCAAAUGGCUCCCGUCGCCCUGGUUCUUAAAGGUUAUCGCGGAAGAUUUUGUUGAAUCGGUGUGAGAACUCUCUCACUCUCGUGAUGCUUGUUAGGGAUCGGAGAUCAGUGUGCCAAUAAAGGGGUUGCGUAGUUUACCCAGCUUUUGAGCGAUUGGUCUCGC
rnacentral:lncRNA from 1 species